UACGUAGGGUGCGAGCGUUGUCCGGAAUUAUUGGGCGUAAAGAGCUCGUAGGCGGUUCGUCGCGUCGAAUGUGAAAACCCGGGGCUCAACUCCGGGCCUGCAUUCGAUACGGGCGGACUAGAGUUCGGUAGGGGAGACUGGAAUUCCUGGUGUAGCGGUGAAAUGCGCAGAUAUCAGGAGGAACACCGAUGGCGAAGGCAGGUCUCUGGGCCGAUACUGACGCUGAGGAGCGAAAGCGUGGGGAGCGAACAGG
rnacentral:rRNA from 1 species